rnacentral:misc_RNA from 1 species
AAGUCGUAACAUGUUUUUGUAGGUGAACCUGCGGAAGGAUCAUUAACACGUAUCCAACGUUAAACCCCCCAUGCACACAGCGACCUGCUCCCUCAAUUUCGGUAGGGACAUCCAAAGGGCCGGUAGGGUAUUAAAGUAGUAGUCAAUGCAAAGCAACCUGGUUUCUUUGAAGCAAGAAAGUGUGAGCCGGAGAACGGACCGAGUGGUAGUUCAAAGGUGCCUUCUGUCGCGCACUGUGGAAAGGAAGACGCUUUACGAAUCACUGUCCAACACGGUCAGUGACCGGGUUCCUGGUCCUAGACCCCAUAUUCACCACCACAGUCGCAGACGAGGUAGGGAUACGUCCCUACCACCAAAUAAAUACUUGAACAACUGUUAACAAUGGAUAUCUUGGUUCUC